rnacentral:rRNA from 1 species
AGAGUUUGAUCAUGGCUCAGAUUGAACGCUGGCGGCAGGCCUAACACAUGCAAGUCGAACGGUAACAGGAAGCAGCUUGCUGCUUCGCUGACGAGUGGCGGACGGGUGAGUAAUGUCUGGGAAACUGCCUGAUGGAGGGGGAUAACUACUGGAAACGGUAGCUAAUACCGCAUAACGUCGCAAGACCAAAGAGGGGGACCUUCGGGCCUCUUGCCAUCGGAUGUGCCCAGAUGGGAUUAGCUUGUUGGUGGGGUAACGGCUCACCAAGGCGACGAUCCCUAGCUGGUCUGAGAGGAUGACCAGCCACACUGGAACUGAGACACGGUCCAGACUCCUACGGGAGGCAGCAGUGGGGAAUAUUGCACAAUGGGCGCAAGCCUGAUGCAGCCAUGCCGCGUGUAUGAAGAAGGCCUUCGGGUUGUAAAGUACUUUCAGCGGGGAGGAAGGGAGUAAAGUUAAUACCUUUGCUCAUUGACGUUACCCGCAGAAGAAGCACCGGCUAACUCCGUGCCAGCAGCCGCGGUAAUACGGAGGGUGCAAGCGUUAAUCGGAAUUACUGGGCGUAAAGCGCACGCAGGCGGUUUGUUAAGUCAGAUGUGAAAUCCCCGGGCUCAACCUGGGAACUGCAUCUGAUACUGGCAAGCUUGAGUCUCGUAGAGGGGGGUAGAAUUCCAGGUGUAGCGGUGAAAUGCGUAGAGAUCUGGAGGAAUACCGGUGGCGAAGGCGGCCCCCUGGACGAAGACUGACGCUCAGGUGCGAAAGCGUGGGGAGCAAACAGGAUUAGAUACCCUGGUAGUCCACGCCGUAAACGAUGUCGACUUGGAGGUUGUGCCCUUGAGGCGUGGCUUCCGGAGCUAACGCGUUAAGUCGACCGCCUGGGGAGUACGGCCGCAAGGUUAAAACUCAAAUGAAUUGACGGGGGCCCGCACAAGCGGUGGAGCAUGUGGUUUAAUUCGAUGCAACGCGAAGAACCUUACCUGGUCUUGACAUCCACGGAAGUUUUCAGAGAUGAGAAUGUGCCUUCGGGAACCGUGAGACAGGUGCUGCAUGGCUGUCGUCAGCUCGUGUUGUGAAAUGUUGGGUUAAGUCCCGCAACGAGCGCAACCCUUAUCCUUUGUUGCCAGCGGUCCGGCCGGGAACUCAAAGGAGACUGCCAGUGAUAAACUGGAGGAAGGUGGGGAUGACGUCAAGUCAUCAUGGCCCUUACGACCAGGGCUACACACGUGCUACAAUGGCGCAUACAAAGAGAAGCGACCUCGCGAGAGCAAGCGGACCUCAUAAAGUGCGUCGUAGUCCGGAUUGGAGUCUGCAACUCGACUCCAUGAAGUCGGAAUCGCUAGUAAUCGUGGAUCAGAAUGCCACGGUGAAUACGUCCCCGGGCCUUGUACACACCGCCCGUCACACCAUGGGAGUGGGUUGCAAAAGAAGUAGGUAGCUUAACCUUCGGGAGGGCGCUUACCACUUUGUGAUUCAUGACUGGGGUGAAGUCGUAACAAGGUAACCGUAGGGGAACCUGCGGUUGGAUCACCU